UACGAAGGGGGCUAGCGUUGCUCGGAAUUACUGGGCGUAAAGGGCGCGUAGGCGGACAGUUUAGUCAGAGGUGAAAGCCCAGGGCUCAACCUUGGAAUUGCCUUUGAUACUGGCGAGCUUGAGUUCGGGAGAGGUGAGUGGAACUGCGAGUGUAGAGGUGAAAUUCGUAGAUAUUCGCAAGAACACCAGUGGCGAAGGCGGCUCACUGGCCCGAUACUGACGCUGAGGUGCGAAAGCGUGGGGAGCAAACAGG
rnacentral:rRNA from 1 species